AGAGUUUGAUCCUGGCUCAGAGCGAACGCUGGCGGCAGGCUUAACACAUGCAAGUCGAGCGGGCAUAGCAAUAUGUCAGCGGCAGACGGGUGAGUAACGCGUGGGAACAUACCUUUUGGUUCGGAACAACACAGGGAAACUUGUGCUAAUACCGGAUAAGCCCUUACGGGGAAAGAUUUAUCGCCGAAAGAUUGGCCCGCGUCUGAUUAGCUAGUUGGUGAGGUAAUGGCUCACCAAGGCGACGAUCAGUAGCUGGUCUGAGAGGAUGAUCAGCCACAUUGGGACUGAGACACGGCCCAAACUCCUACGGGAGGCAGCAGUGGGGAAUAUUGGACAAUGGGCGCAAGCCUGAUCCAGCCAUGCCGCGUGAGUGAUGAAGGCCCUAGGGUUGUAAAGCUCUUUUGUGCGGGAAGAUAAUGACGGUACCGCAAGAAUAAGCCCCGGCUAACUUCGUGCCAGCAGCCGCGGUAAUACGAAGGGGGCUAGCGUUGCUCGGAAUCACUGGGCGUAAAGGGUGCGUAGGCGGGUCUUUAAGUCAGGGGUGAAAUCCUGGAGCUCAACUCCAGAACUGCCUUUGAUACUGAAGAUCUUGAGUUCGGGAGAGGUGAGUGGAACUGCGAGUGUAGAGGUGAAAUUCGUAGAUAUUCGCAAGAACACCAGUGGCGAGGGCGGCUCACUGGCCCGAUACUGACGCUGAGGCACGAAAGCGUGGGGAGCAAACAGGAUUAGAUACCCCGGUAGUCC
rnacentral:rRNA from 1 species